rnacentral:RNase_P_RNA from 1 species
AAAGCCUGCCGGGCAGUCGCUGCUGUCGCAAGACAGGGGAGGAAAGUCCGGGCUCCGCAGGGCAGGGUGCCAGGUAACACCUGGGCGGCGCAAGCCGACGGAAAGUGCAACAGAAAGGAAACCGCCUGCAAUGCAGGUAAGGGUGAAAAGGUGCGGUAAGAGCGCACCGCGCGGCUGGUAACAGUCCGUGGCGAUGGUAAACCCCACCCGGAGCAAGACCAAAUAGGAAUCCUUUGGUGUGGCCCGCACUGGAUUCGGGUAGGUUGCUUGAGGCGUCCGGCGACGGGCGUCCCAGAUAAAUGACUGCAGGAAACAGAACCCGGCUUACGGGCAGGCUUUCACC